AUUGAACGCUGGCGGCAUGCUUUACACAUGCAAGUCGAACGGUAACAGGCCGCGAGGUGCUGACUAGUGGCGAACGGGGGAGUAAUGCAACGGAACGUGCCCAGUCGCUGGGGAUAACUGCUCGAAAGAGUAGCUAAUACCGCAUACGAUCUAUGGAUGAAAGCGGGGGGCCGUAAGGCCGCGCGCGAUUGGUGCUGCCGCUGAUAGAUUAGCUAGUUGGUGGGGUAAAGGCUCACCAAGCCAACGAUCAGUAGCUGGACUGAGAGGACAACCAGCCACACUGGGACUGAGACACGGCCCAGACUCCUACGGGAGGCAGCAGUGGGGAAUUUUGGACAAUGGGCGCAAGCCUGACCCAGCAAUGCCGCGUGCAGGAAGAAGGCCUUCGGGUUGUAAAAUGCUUUUGUACGGAACGAAACGGCUCUGGUUAAUACCCGGGGCUAAUGACGGUACCGUAAGAAUAAGCACCGGCUAACUACGUG
rnacentral:rRNA from 1 species